AAUGAACGCUGGCGGCAGGCCUAACACAUGCAAGUCGAACGGAUCCUUCGGGAUUAGUGGCGGACGGGUGAGUAACGCGUGGGAACAUACCCUUUGGUACGGAAUAGCCUCGGGAAACUGGGAGUAAUACCGUAUGUGGUCGAGAGACGAAAGAUUUAUCGCCAAAGGGUUGGCCCGCGUUGGAUUAGGUAGUUGGUGGGGUAGUGGCCUACCAAGCCGACGAUCCAUAGCUGGUUUGAGAGGAUGAUCAGCCACACUGGGACUGAGACACGGCCCAGACUCCUACGGGAGGCAGCAGUGGGGAAUCUUAGACAAUGGGGGAAACCCUGAUCUAGCCAUGCCGCGUGAUCGAUGAAGGCCUUAGGGUUGUAAAGAUCUUUCAGGUGGGAAGAUAAUGACUGUACCACCAGAAGAAGCCCCGGCUAACUCCGUGCCAGCCGCCGCAGUAA
rnacentral:rRNA from 1 species